CAGAGUUUCCAAGCUGUGUGACUAUGAAGAACAGAGGUUGAGUUCCCACGUUCUAGAGGCUAGACCAUCCACCAGGUGCCAGCAUGAAAAGCCCUUCUGACUUCAUCAUAACAGGACAGAGGCCAUCAGAUAGCAAGAGAGAAAAAGUGUGCUGUUGUUCUUAUAUAAUAAUUACUAUUGCCACCACGGGGGUGGGGAAUAGUUUCUAAUAAGACUUCAUUUACCCCAAUUACCUCACAAAUAUUUUCCUCCAAGCAGAAUCAAUGUAAGACAUUUACAAUUUAAGUUUUCAAUACAUGAUCUGUGUGUGGAUUAUUUUUUUGUUUAUUUUUUUUGAGGGGGUUAUCGCUAUGCAGCCCAGGCUAGUUUUGAACACCUAACCCUCCUUCCUCAGUCUCUGAAGGGCUGAGAUUAUAAAAAAAAAAAAUGUGUCAUCAUUUUUGGUUCAACACAUGGACUUUGAAGAGACACACACAUUUCAUAAAGCACCCACGCUCUCUCAGUGAUGUUCUAUCUGUGGUUCUCAAGCUGUGGGUCACGGACUCCUCACUUUGCAUAGCAGAUAUUCACACUGUGAUUCAUAACAGUAGCAAAACUACAGUCAUGAAGCAGCAAUGAAAUGAUGUUAAGGUUGGGAGUCAGCACAACACGAGGAACUGUAUUAAAGGGUCUCGCGGGGCAUUAGGACGGUUGAGAACCACUGCUUUAAGCUGUGAGUGCAGCAGCCCUCCACUGGGGGCAGCGGCACUCAGUCAAGGCUGAUCAUGUGUGAGUGGAGCCUAAUGUAAUCCAACAAAGCCAAGCUAACACUCCACGAGGCGCAGGGUGUCAGAAGAGCUGAGAGUUCACGACUACGCUGAGGAUCAUUGACAAAGGAUACUCUCAGCCCACUGGGAAUAGCACAGUCCACUCAAGCACUGCUCCUGACCCGCUCUGAAGUAGAUUCUCAUUGACAGAUGAGGCAUGAGAGCUGACAUUAUCCCAUCAUAUGGUCCUGAGUAUGAGUCCUGCCAGCUGCUGUUAAAACUGCGUGUCCUCAUGCAGCUACCGUGAGACCGCCGAUGUUGCUCAUCUCUAGUUCCUUCAAUAAAUGUUUUUGCAACCUAA